rnacentral:rRNA from 1 species
AGUGAACGCUGGCGGUAGGCCUAACACAUGCAAGUCGAACGGCAGCACAGUAAGAGCUUGCUCUUACGGGUGGCGAGUGGCGGACGGGUGAGGAAUACAUCGGAAUCUACUUUUUCGUGGGGGAUAACGUAGGGAAACUUACGCUAAUACCGCAUACGACCUACGGGUGAAAGCAGGGGAUCUUCGGACCUUGCGCGAUUGAAUGAGCCGGUGUCGGAUUAGCUAGUUGGCGGGGUAAAGGCCCACCAAGGCGACGGUCCGUAGCUGGUCUGAGAGGAGGAUCAGCCACACUGGAACUGAGACACGGUCCAGACUCCUACGGGAGGCAGCAGUGGGGAAGAUUGGACAAUGGGCGGAAGCCUGAUCCAGCCAUACCGCGUGGGUGAAGAAGGCCUUCGGGUUGUAAAGCCCUUUUGUUGGGAAAGAAAAGCAGCAGGUGAAGACACGGCUGUUCUGACGGUACCCAAAGAAUAAGCACCGGCUAACUUCGUG